GUGUGUUACUUAUCUAGAUGAUAUUGUGUUACUUAUCUAGAUGUGUGUUACUUAUCUAGAUGAUAGUGUGUUACUUAUCUAGAUGAUAUUGUGUUACUUAUCUAGAUGGUAGUGUGUUACUUAUCUAGAUGGUAGUGUGUUUCUUAUCUAGAUGGAGCCCAACUCUUCAGGGUAUAGAUUUGUGAGAAUGUUAAGGCAGGGAGAGAAAAAAAGGAAAACCGCUCACUGAAAGGUCAGAACACUUUUUUGUUUGUUUGUCCUACAACAUUUUUGAAGAAAUGUCUAGGAAACGUGACUGUGCCUUUGUAGACAAAAAGACUCAGAGAAACAGGCGGUGUUUUAUACAAGCUUUAUUACAACUUGGUUAACAGCUGUACAUGUCAGAGCGUAGGAAGCACAUUUUAUCAACAAGUUUCAAAUGGACAGGUAACUAUGACCACUAAUGUCCUCCUCCACUGUUUGUUAGUCCCAUACAGUGUGUACAUAUUAUACAAGCAGCAAUAUAAAACUUGGCAAAUGGAAAGGUUUUUUGCUACUUUAUUUUUUAAUGUAAAAUAAGUCUUUCCUAUGAAUAAAAAAUACAGCAACCAUAAAACCUGGCGAUUAAGUUCUGACUGAAAAGCCUCAGUUCUUUAAACUGUAUUUUCUCCUAGAGGUUUUUUUAGCCUCUAGGAAAACCAGAUUGAACGCUACGCUCACAAUUGUUUGAAACAUUCAGUCUGGUGUAACUAUGCUAGAGGUUUAUUGUCCUGUGUAGAACACUGGCCUGGUCCCAGAUCACUUGUCAAGACAGCACACACUGAUCUGGGACCAGGCCAGGAGACUAACCGAUCUGGGACCAGGCCAGGAGACUAACCGAUCUGGGACCAGGCCAGGAGACUAACCGAUCUGGGACCAGGCCAGGAGACUAACCGAUCUGGGACCAGGCCAGGAGACUAACCGAUUUGGGACCAGGCCAGGAGACUAACUGAUCUGGGACCAUGCCAGGAGACCAACCGAUCUGGGACACAAGUAGUAACACGUUGCCCUACCAAUCAUAUCACCACAUGUCAGGAGACUAGUAUUUAACACAAGUAGAGACACGUUGCCCUACCAAUCAUAUCACCACAUGUCAGGAGACUAGUAUUUAACACAAGUAGUAACAGCCAUACAAAGUUCAUCAGUUACAUAAUAAUAUGGACACAUCCUUUUAUUAUAAACUGAAAAAAACACAGUAUCAGCAACAAGUCAAUAAGUCUAGUCUUACUCACACCGGUUUGGUUUUUACACUCGAGGCGAAAGCACUUUCAACAUGUUCAUGAUAUAACAUGAUAGGAAAGAUCCUCUUUGACUUCUACCCGUCUGUCCAUUGGUUAGUGGUCCAUUAGUGACGCAGCGGGUCUAGAGGCAUCGCUACAGACCCGGGUUCGAUCCCGGGCCCAGUGUCGUCCGGGCUAGGGGAAGGUUUGAACAGGGUAGGCCGUCAUUGUAAAUAAGAAUUGUUCUUGCUUAGUUCAAUAAAGGUUCAAUAAAAAAUGAAAACGUGUGUUUGUUCUCGUACUAAAAUGAAUGUUUUAUACUGGACAGGUGGAGGUAGAACAUCCCCAUUUCAGUCCGUUUUCUAACGUUUGGUGCCUAAUGAACAUGACCCGGGACAGGGCAGUCUUACUACGUGGGCCAUCUGCUAAUGAACCACGACCCGGGACAGGGCAGUCUUACUACGUGGGCCAUCUGCUAAUGAACCACGACCCGGGACAGGGCAGUCUUACUGCGUGAGCCAUCUGCUAAUGAACCACGACCCGGGACAGGGCAGUCUUACUGCGUGAGCCAUCUGCUAAUGAACUACGACCCGGGACAGGGCAGUCUUACUGCGUGGGCCAUCUGCUAAUGAACCACGACCCGGGACAGGGCAGUCUUACUGCGUCGGCCAUCUGCUAAUGAACCACGACCCGGGACAGGGCAGUCUUACUGCGUCCGCCAUCUGCUAAUGAACCACGACCCGGGACAGGGCAGUCUUACUGCGUCGGCCAUCUGCUAAUGAACCACGACCCGGGACAGGGCAGUCUUACUGCGUCCGCCAUCUGCUAAUGAACCACGACCCGGGACAGGGCAGUCUUACUGCGUCCGCCAUCUGCUAAUGAACCACGACCCGGGACAGGGCAGUCUUACUGCGUCGGCCAUCUUGCUGUAUUUUUUCAAAAAGGCUCUGCCAUGGCAUCCUAUCAACAAGCCUACUUGUUUUAUAAAAAGGUUAGAGAAAGGUUUUACACAUUUUAUACAAUGUAGGAAAUGUAUGAAUCUAAGUCAAUACUGCAUAUGUAUGCAUGAAUCUAAGUCAAUACUGCAUAUGUAAGGCGAAUAAAAACAGGAAUACAUAUCAAAGUCAUAAAGGCUAGAUAGAAGCAUGUGAUCUCUUCUACCAAUUUAAAGAGAGAGAAACACAUCGAGGUUAUUAUCAGUGAAAUAAAGAAGCAGAGCACUCCUUACAUAGAGAAGUCAUCAGAACACUUAAACGGAAAUACAUGGAAACUGAACAUCUAGACUGAGUGUAGAAAACAUUAAGAACACCUGCUCUUUCCGUGACAUAGAGCCCCCCAACUCAACUCUGGAACAGUUUGAAUCCAGGUCUGAUUUAGACAUGGGACACCAGGGCCUGAUUUAGACAUGGGACACCAGGGUCUGGUUUAGACAUGGGACACCAGGGCCUGAUUUUGACAUGGGACACCAGGGUCUGAUUUAGACAUGGGACACCAGGGUCUGAUUUAGACAUGGGACACCAGGGUCUGAUUUAGACAUGGGACACCAGGGCCUGAUUUAGACAUGGGACACCAGGGUCUGAUUUUGACAUGGGACACCAGGGCCUGAUUUAGACAUGGGACACCGGUGCCUGGUUUAGACAUGGGACACCAGGGUCUGGUUUAGACAUGGGACACCAGGGCCUGAUUUAGACAUGGGACACCGGGGCCUGGUUUAGACAUGGGACACCGGGGCCUGAUG
ensembl:lncRNA